rnacentral:rRNA from 1 species
GACGGAGGAUGCAAGCGUUAUCCGGAAUGAUUGGGCGUAAAGCGUCCGCAGGUGGCAGUUCAAGUCUGCUGUCAAAGACCGGGGCUUAACUUCGGAAAGGCAGUGGAAACUGAACAGCUAGAGUAUGGUAGGGGCAGAGGGAAUUCCUGGUGUAGCGGUGAAAUGCGUAGAGAUCAGGAAGAACAUCGGUGGCGAAGGCGCUCUGCUGGACCAUAACUGACACUGAGGGACGAAAGCUAAGGGAGCGAAAGGG